UCUCCUUCAAGGUCACCCAAGUUGAGGUAUACGUCGAAGGUAUCAACGACAACGAAAGCGAACCUUAAUCGAACCUAACCUAACCUACAUGGAUAAGAAUAUAAACCAUGGACAAACAUUGCUCGGAUCUUGUCCCCUGGACCUUGGAGGACUUUGGUGUGGAUGAUGUUCAGUACACUCUGUACAUUACAAUGGAAGCACAGUGUGAUUUCACUGAGGUCUGAAGAAGAGAGGUUGAAAGAUCGAAAAAGGCGGUGAAAACAAAACACACUACAGAUGAUACUGAAAACGAAAUGCACGGCGAACUGGAAGCUGUGAACUGGGAAGCAGAUGUUCUUUUAAGGGACACCCUGGAGGCAGCAAGGUGGUGUGAACUCCAAACAUUUAAAGGCACUGUUUCCCUCCCUAGUGUAAUUGGGAUGGACGGGGAAGACCGCAUUUCAGCCCUUAAAGAACUACGGUUGUAUGAUGGCCUGGAUGAAGAGGAAAAUAUUCUCCUCAAGGAACAAUUCAUGUUACAGAGAGAUUAUGAGAUGUUCUAUGUGGAGGCAGUUGACAACAAGAACAUUACUGUCUUUGCCUCUUGAGGAGCAGGAGUGAAGCCAUUUUUGAGGAGUGGUCAAACCUUGUUUUUGUCUGCUGUGUUAAUUGUUUCAAUUGUUAAUUGUGUU